rnacentral:rRNA from 1 species
UUAUAUGAGAGUUUGAUCCUGGCUCAGGACGAACGCUGGCGGCGUGCCUAAUACAUGCAAGUCGAGCGGAUCUUUAGGAGCUUGCUCCUAAAGAUUAGCGGCGGACGGGUGAGUAACACGUGGGCAACCUGCCUGUAAGACUGGGAUAACUUCGGGAAACCGGAGCUAAUACCGGAUAACUUCUUUCCCUGCAUGGGGAAAGGUUGAAAGACGGUUAUGCUGUCACUUNNNNNNNNNNAGAUUAGCGGCGGACGGGUGAGUAACACGUGGGCAACCUGCCUGUAAGACUGGGAUAACUUCGGGAAACCGGAGCUAAUACCGGAUAACUUCUUUCCCUGCAUGGGGAAAGGUUGAAAGACGGUUAUGCUGUCACUUACAGAUGGGCCCGCGGCGCAUUAGCUAGUUGGUGAGGUAACGGCUCACCAAGGCAACGAUGCGUAGCCGACCUGAGAGGGUGAUCGGCCACACUGGGACUGAGACACGGCCCAGACUCCUACGGGAGGCAGCAGUAGGGAAUCUUCCGCAAUGGACGAAAGUCUGACGGAGCAACGCCGCGUGAGUGAAGAAGGUUUUCGGAUCGUAAAACUCUGUUAUCAGGGAAGAACAAGUACCGUGUAACUAACGGUACCGUGACGGUACCUGACCAGAAAGCCACGGCUAACUACGUGCCAGCAGCCGCGGUAAUACGUAGGUGGCAAGCGUUGUCCGGAAUUAUUGGGCGUAAAGCGCGCGCAGGCGGUUUCUUAAGUCUGAUGUGAAAUCUCGCGGCUCAACCGUGAGCGGUCAUUGGAAACUGGGAAACUUGAGUGCAGAAGAGAAGAGCGGAAUUCCACGUGUAGCGGUGAAAUGCGUAGAGAUGUGGAGGAACACCAGUGGCGAAGGCGGCUCUUUGGUCUGUAACUGACGCUGAGGCGCGAAAGCGUGGGGAGCGAACAGGAUUAGAUACCCUGGUAGUCCACGCCGUAAACGAUGAGUGCUAAGUGUUAGAGGGUUUCCGCCCUUUAGUGCUGCAGCAAACGCAUUAAGCACUCCGCCUGGGGAGUACGGCCGCAAGGCUGAAACUCAAAGGAAUUGACGGGGGCCCGCACAAGCGGUGGAGCAUGUGGUUUAAUUCGAAGCAACGCGAAGAACCUUACCAGGUCUUGACAUCCCGCUGACCGGCCUAGAGAUAGGCCUUCCCCUUCGGGGGCAGCGGUGACAGGUGGUGCAUGGUUGUCGUCAGCUCGUGUCGUGAGAUGUUGGGUUAAGUCCCGCAACGAGCGCAACCCUUGAUCUUAGUUGCCAGCAUUUAGUUGGGCACUCUAAGGUGACUGCCGGUGACAAACCGGAGGAAGGUGGGGAUGACGUCAAAUCAUCAUGCCCCUUAUGACCUGGGCUACACACGUGCUACAAUGGAUGGUACAAAGGGCUGCAAGACCGCGAGGUUUAGCCAAUCCCAUAAAACCAUUCUCAGUUCGGAUUGCAGGCUGCAACUCGCCUGCAUGAAGCCGGAAUCGCUAGUAAUCGCGGAUCAGCAUGCCGCGGUGAAUACGUUCCCGGGCCUUGUACACACCGCCCGUCACACCACGAGAGUUUGUAACACCCGAAGUCGGUGGGGUAACCCUCUGGGAGCCAGCCGCCGAAGGUGGGACAGAUGAUUGGGGUGAAGUCGUAACAAGGUAGCCGUAUCGGAAGGUGCGGCUGGAUCACCUCCUUU